rnacentral:rRNA from 1 species
GUUAAAAAGCUCGUAGUUGGAUUUCUGUGAGAGUAUGAUGUCCUAACGUGUUUAGAGCGCAGAAAACUCUUGCAUCCUUCUGUUACCUCCACGUGGCAUUCGCUUGCCAGUGGUUGGCUCAGAGAAUUUACCUUGAGAAAAUUAGAGUGUUUCAGGCAGGCUUAGUCGGAAUACAUUAGCAUGGAAUAAUAGAAUAGGACUCCGGUCUCGUUGUUGGUUUGAGGGACUGUAGUAAUGAUUAAUAGGGAUAGUUGGGGGCAUUAGUAUUCGGUUGUCAGAGGUGAAAUUCUCAGAUUUAUUGAAGACUAACUUAUGCGAAAGCAUUUGCCAAGGAUGUUUUCAUUAAUCAAGAACGAAAGUUAGGGGAUCAAAGACGAUCAGAUACCGUCCUAGUCUUAACCAUAAACUAUGCCGACUCGGGAUUGGGGGCGUGUUAUUAUCCGCCUUCAGCACCGUAUGAGAAAUCAAAGUCUUUGGGUUCUGGGGGGAGUAUGGCCGCAAGGUUGAAACUUAAAGGAAUUGACGGAAGGGCACCACCAGGCGUGGAGCUUGCGGCUCAAUUUGACUCAACACGGGAAAACUUACCAGGUCCAGACAUAGUAAGGAUUGACAGAUUGAUAGCUCUU